CCGGCCAAUAAGAAAACGGGCAAAAGAAAGAAAAGGGAAGGAAAGCAACGUGAGAGGCACGCCCUCGCUCCUGGCAGCCGAGAACGCGUCUACUGCUCCUGACGGCUAGGUUUCCAUCCUCCUCUCCUCAGUCUCUCGAUCUUGCUCUUCUUAGGUCCUGUGACAACAAAUCUCUCUAUCCGCAUCGUCGUUCUUAGGCGCCGUCGUGAACGCUACUUCUCUUGCAGUUCAUUUGUUCGAUAACUGUGGAGGUUCCCAAUCGCAUAUUCCGCUCCUACGAAACGACGUCGUUCUCUAUCACCGUUGUCGACGCUAUUGCUGCAGCAAGUGAACGACAAAGGAAUUCCUACUGACCUACACUUCUACAUCCCACAAAUGUUGAAGGAAACAUUUUUGGUUGUCUACAGGCCCACCACGUAAUAUACCAAUGGAAAUGCAAUGCGGCUACUUUAACAAUGAGUACAUAAACGCGCUUAAAGGUUAGUGAAAAAGAUCUAUUCCAUGUUACUGCAUUACGACAUCAGACACAUCUUUCUUUCACCAUAAUCAGCCACUAACGCAAUAUUCUCCUGAAUAAUCUAUCCCUGCCCCACUAUGAUUAGUUUCAUACAAAGAUAGAUCUUUCUAUGGAACACCAGAUUUCGAAUGUCGAUAUUGCAAGGCAGUCUUCUGGUAUCGUGAAAGAGCUCGUGGUAAACAUAUUGAUGGAUCUAUACUAUACAACAAUUGUUGCAAGGGUGGUAAAAUAGCAAUACCACCAUACAAACCACAUCCUGAACCAUUGGCUACACUGGCUAGAUUUGAUGGGGAUUCAAUAUCUAAGAAGUUCAUGCGCAACAUAAGACAAUACAAUUGUCUAUUUGCUUUCACUUCAAUGGGAGCUAACAUUGAUAACAAUGUCAAUGAUGGUCGUGGGCCACCUCUGU